CAAUAAGUGAUUUUCUAUUCCAGGCAUUGUGCUAAGCUCUGGGCAUACAACUAAAAGCAAAAAGAAAGUUUCUGUCCUCAAAUAGCUUAUAUUUAUUCUAAGGGAGAAAAGCAAACAUGCAAAAAGAAACUUAAAACAUGAGGGUUCUUGAUGCCUGGGAAGAGCUUUGAAGCCUGGAAGAUCAGGAACAGAGCUGGAGAAGCAUGAAGGUAUUACCACAGCCACCCUAAUUUUCAGCAACUGCUAUCCUGAUUAUCAACAGCCAUCAACAUUGAGACAAGACCCUUGACUGGUAAAAAGAUCCCAACUCAGUGAAGACUCAGAUGAUGGUUAUCAUUUUGGGGCAAUAAAGUAUUUUCAAAUUAAGAAAACCCAGCUUCAUGGAACCUGUGCAACCCAGUUCGAUCAAGUCACCACAUCGUCUAGAGAAGGAAUGGAAAGAGGACUGGCCAUUUUCAUGAACAGCAAGAAUGGAAGGAGAGUACUAAAGAAACUGAUCUUUAUGACUUCUCUUCCUGAGGGUCUUUGGGUACUGGAGGAAAGGAGAGGAGAAGGUGAGGAAGUAUAUUGAGGGAUAAUUCAGCUUUUCUUUCCUUUUUCUCCACAGUUCAACAAUGAGAUGAGAUUCAGUAACUUGCCUCAAGGUGAUGCUUUAAACUUCUUAUUGCCUUCUUCAUUAAGGGGGCAAACUUUAUACUGUGUAUAUGUGAAU
rnacentral:lncRNA from 1 species